AGAGUUCUCCAGAUCCUCCAAGCGCCGUCGGCGCCACCACUCCAGACACUGUUCACGAGGCCUCAAAGCGUGGAGGCGGUGGCCCGGGGCCGACUCUCGGGUGACCGCCAAUUUGGUCCCAAGACACUUCAGGAUCUCGCAACGGAUGGAGGACAGCGCGGUUCCAAGAGAGGGCGCCAAAGGCGACGCGCUGGCGGCCAGCUCCAAGCCAACCAGGCCCAUUGCGUCCGUCUGCAGGAACCUGUCCCUUCACCCUGCUUUGGACACUGAGCUUCGGAGGAUCUGGCUGCGAGCUGAUUCAACGCCAGGGCGCCGCCUAGAGGUCGGUCGCGUCCUCGGUCUCGCUCACCGACCACAGAGCUGCUUGUCCAAGCCACAGUGUCAGACUUAAACAAAACAAAACAAAAUUCCUGCUUGGAUCAGAGACUUGGCUUCUGGGACCGUUGACUUAUCAGAAACUUGCCUCCUCUCUGCUUCAUAACGAACCCCAGGAAGAGAGAGGGACCAGGGAUCUCAAAGAAAUAUUUGUCCUUGUGGCACCGACUAGGUGGAAGAAAAGUCUCAACAUGUCAGUUUCUUUUAAGGAUCUUAGAUUCUGUGUCUAGGUCUGCACUGGUUCGUCUCACUACCCAGAUUGCUCAGCCUAACCUCCUUCUCCAGUUCGUGCCAGGACGAUGCUUUAACUUCACGAAGAAAGGGGACAUGGAAAAGUUACCCUUUUCUCUUAAAGAUCCAUUACAAGAUUUCUAGAUAAUUUGGAGAUGGACAUGUUUUGGAAAAGAAUUUGGAAAACAUCUGUGUGUGUGUGUGUGUGUGUGUGUGUGUGUGUGCAGUGAUAGGAAAAAAUUGCCCACAUAGCCUUUACUUACUAAGUAAACUCCCACUGGUGUCCCAGCAAUAGUCAAGGGGGUACUUGGAGACACCAGUAGCCCUGCCCAGGGAAGUUUGUGCUGAGCCCUUGAAAGCUGAUUUUUGAGAUAAGGAUGACCUUGGAAGGCAUCCGACCAACAGGGUUGAGGUGUCCUUAAAGUCCAUGCAGGCUUCUUUUUGGAGACUGAGAUCAAAAGCCUGAGUUGUGGAGCUGCAGAGCCUCCAAGAAUGCGUGCUCCGAGAGUGUGUAUACACACAAGGUAUGCUGAGCUAAAGGUGUACCUCUUCGGUUUUCCAAGGAGCCCCUGUCUCCAGUCAUGGAGCUACAGAGACCAGGCCAGCAGUGGGCUGGGAGCCAGCACACUGAUCUUGAGCCAUGGCUGUCCCUGACCAGGCAGCUCUAUUGGAGAUAGAAAAAUAAUAGUUUUGAGCAGCUGAGGACCGUUGGCCCACUCUGUCCUUCUUCCUCCCUCUCCUAUGUCUUCUAGAGGAAAAUGCUAAUCGAAGGUGUCAAGGUGUCACCACAGUGUUUCCAAUAGAAGUGGAGGAUGAUGAAGACCAAAGGGAGGGAGCACACAGUGAGGAUACAUGAUGGGCAGAGCUGCAGGGGCUCCCCCAUGUCAUUUUGGGAAAUAAAUAUUCUGUAGGUAUAAGAUACUUUCUGUCCCAGGUGCUCUUCCCUCUUGGUGCCAGGUCCUCCCACAGGGUGGACUACAACACUACUGCUCACCCCUAGCCAAUCUUUGGCAGAAUGAGACUGCCAAUUCAGCUUUUUUUUUUUUUUAAUAGGAGACACCUUGGUAUUUUCCGAGACCCCUUUAAAAAAAAUCUAUCUGUAUUUUUUUAAUCUCCAGAGGAGGGAGACUUGGCAGCACUUCCUGGAGGGAGGGAUGAGUUGGCUAGGCUGCUGCUGCACCUGUGUGUCUGCGGGACAGGGGACCCCUCCUGGGUCUGCAGCUGAGCCUGAGAUUAUCUCAGCCUUUUGAGUGUAUUUUAGACUCGAAGUUUUGGUGCUUGGUGAUGAAUAAUUGGGGUGAAGGGAAUCCCUUUGCUGUCCCCCCAAAUCGCAUAAUCAUGUACUUCCAGUACACAAAGAGGGUCAGAAGCCACUAUCAUGGCUCCUGGUUCUCUGGAGUCCCCGGAGAAAGAGAAAUUUUUUUUUUCCUAUUAGUUUUGCGCUGCAGUGCUCUGGUAGAACAAAUCCGGAUUCCACGAAAAAUGUGGAGGGGGCGGGAGCAAACUGCCCAUGACGGAAGGCAGUGGCAACUUGAGGUCCACUGCUUGCUUUGAUUUGGUUUUGAAGCUUGUAAAAGAAAGGGAGAGAAGCAAGCAGUGAGACUCGGGGACAAGGAACGUCAUUGUGCUGUCAUUUGUGCUUUGUACGCGGGACAAGGAGAUCCCCGCGGGUUUCACCUCUGGAGCGGUUCACUGCUCAGCCUCCUUCAAGCCCUGAGAGUUUUCCAAGUCUUAUCCCCUGUCCUAUUUUAACAAGUACCUGGCAAUAAACGGGUGGGGCAGGACAAAGGUCUGGAAGCCGGAAAGCAGCGGAAAACCCUAAACCCCCGCAACAAGCAGAUAGCACAUCAGCUGGGCUUGUAGCGAGGAGUGCAGGGCUCCCAGCUCUGCCUAGCAGGUUGCUAGGAGCCCCGCAUCCAGAGUCCUUGGCUUGGCUCUGGGUUCUAGGGGCCCAGGUUAGGCGUCCACAGGCUUCCAGUCCUGGCCACGGAGCUAGAGAGAAAGGCACAGAGGCCCGGGAGACUUCUCUCCACGCGGGCAGAGUCUGCAAGCUCCUUUAGCCUAGUAAAUUGUUUUCCUUUCCUUAUACCCGCCCCGGUCGUGUUUCUUUUCAGGACAAGAGGGGAUAUAAACUGUUUGAAGUUCAUCAGCACGGUGAAGUUUUAUUGUAUUUCCGGUCCCUAAAAGAGAAGCCGGCAGCCAGGCAGACUCCCUCCUUAUCUCCGAGUUUCCACGCCAGGGACACACACGUGGCCAAGCGGACACUUGCCUUCGGGAGCAGGGAGGGAGAGAGCCCGCUCCGAUCGACUCUCCCUCACCGGCUCAGGUAAGUCUAAGAGGCCUCUGAUAGUUGUGGCAUCAACUGAGCCACAACCUGUGAGGAUGUGCGAAGUGACUUUGUAGGGAUGGAAGAGAGCGGGAGACAAGGAUGUACUCAGACUAGAGGAAGCAAACUUGUUCUCUGCCUUUCCCCAGCCAGGUCCUCAACGUCUCCACUUCUUUGUAAAUGUGGAAAAGAGUGGCCUACCUGGGGCUGUCCAGCAGCUGUGAAACCAGAGUCCUAUCGUAUGCCAGCAGAGUGACUGUUUCAGCCUUAUUGUUUGUGCCCUAGAAUUCACGGUGCCUUCUAACCCUGACUU
ensembl:lincRNA Gm53 predicted gene 53